UGGGGAAUUUUUGACAAUGGGCGAAAGCCUGAUCCAGCAAUGCCGCGUGUGUGAAGAAGGCCUUCGGGUUGUAAAGCACUUUUGUCCGGAAAGAAAUGGCUCUGGUUAAUACCUGGGGUCGAUGACGGUACCGGAAGAAUAAGGACCGGCUAACUACGUGCCAGCAGCCGCGGUAAUACGUAGGGUCCAAGCGUUAAUCGGAAUUACUGGGCGUAAAGCGUGCGCAGGCGGUUGUGCAAGACCGAUGUGAAAUCCCCGGGCUUAACUUGGGAAUUGCAUUGGUGACUGCACGGCUAGAGUGUGUCAGAGGGGGGUAGAAUUCCACGUGUAGCAGUGAAAUGCGUAGAGAUGUGGAGGAAUACCGAUGGCGAAGGCAGCCCCCUGGGAUAACACUGACGCUCAUGCACGAAAGCGUGGGGAGCAAACAGG
rnacentral:rRNA from 1 species